GUCCGGCAACGAGCGCCAACCCGCAUUGUCAGGUUUGCCACCAGGUCAUGCUGGGCACUCUGGACGAAACUGCCCGUGUUAAGCGGAGGAAGGUGGGAUGACGUCAAGUCAUCAUGGCCCUUACGGCCAGGGCUACACACGUGCUACAAUGGUCGGUACAAAGGGUUGCCAAGCCGCGAGGUGGAGCUAAUCCCAUAAAACCGAUCGUAGUCCGGAUCGCAGUCUGCAACUCGACUGCGUGAAGUCGGAAUCGCUAGUAAUCGUGAAUCAGAAUGUCACGGUGAAUACGUUCCCGGGCCUU
rnacentral:rRNA from 1 species